UACAGAGGGUGCGAGCGUUAAUCGGAAUUACUGGGCGUAAAGCGUGCGUAGACGGUUAUUUAAGUCGGGUGUGAAAGCCCCGGGCUCAACCUGGGAAUUGCAUUCGAGACUGAAUAGCUAGGGUACGGUAGAGGGAAGUGGAAUUUCCGGUGUAGCGGUGAAAUGCGUAGAUAUCUGGAGGAAUACCGGUGGCGAAGGCGGCAUCCUGGACCAUUACUGACACUGAACCGCGAAAGCUAGGGGAGCAAACGGG
rnacentral:rRNA from 1 species